rnacentral:lncRNA from 1 species
CUACUAGAUCUCAAUCUGAUGCCUCUUCGAAAGGCAUCCAUCAGGCGAUCCACGGCCUCUGCGGCCAGAUCUCAGGCUCCGACCUUGCCUCCAGUUUUCUAGGCUCCUCCUCCCCCAACAACGAUGGUCGGUAUGGAGCAGUUCGACUUGCUGGUUCAGUGGGUCAGAGGCCUCAUCGAAGCAGUGCAGGCCAUGUAGUAGCAGCAACAGCCACAGGCGUCAGUGC